GACGAACGCUGGCGGCGUGCUUAACACAUGCAAGUCGAACGGAAAGGCCCUGCUUGCAGGGUACUCGAGUGGCGAACGGGUGAGUAACACGUGGGUGAUCUGCCCUGCACUUCGGGAUAAGCCUGGGAAACUGGGUCUAAUACCGGAUAGGAGCCAUUUUUAGUGUGAUGGUUGGAAAGUUUUUUCGGUGUAGGAUGAGCUCGCGGCCUAUCAGCUUGUUGGUGGGGUAAUGGCCUACCAAGGCGGCGACGGGUAGCCGGCCUGAGAGGGUGGACGGCCACAUUGGGACUGAGAUACGGCCCAGACUCCUACGGGAGGCAGAAGUGGGGAAUAUUGAACAAUGGGCGCAAGCCUGAUGCAGCGACGCCGCGUGGGGGAGGACGGCCUUCGGGUUGUAAACUCCUUUCGCUAGGGACGAAGCUUUUUGUGACGGUACCUAGAUAAGAAGCACCGGCUAACUACGUG
rnacentral:rRNA from 1 species